GCAAUGGAAGCUAUCUGGUGGGAGACCCUUGGCUUGAAACUCUUGGCAGUCUAUGCAGGUCUUUGCCAUGCUAUUAUAGUGACUCAAAAGGAACGCUUCAAAAUCAUCCAAGAGGGGAUCCAGACAAAUAUCACCUGCGAUUAUGAUGACAGCAGCUACAUCAUGCUUUUUUGGUAUCGGCAGGACAGCAAUGCUGAAGAGAAGCAGUUCCAGCUUAUUGGAUACUCUGUAGCUGGAAGUGAUACGAGGAAGGAAAUCAAGACAUACGAGAUCACCAGAAGAGCAGUGACUCAUUCUUCCCUUAUCAUCCCUCCGGAAGAGGCCGUAAAGCCCGCAGUAUAUUUCUGUGCAGUUGGUGGGACACAGUGA